rnacentral:misc_RNA from 1 species
GGGGAAGGAUCAUUAGCAGCAGCAACAGUGGACGUGUGUAUGUAUGUAUGUAUGUAUGUGUUGGUCCCGUCGAUUGGUGGUUGAUUGGUCUAUUGAUUGAUUGAUUGAUUGGUCCCGUCGAUUGGUGGUCUAUAUACUACAUACAUACAUACAUACAUAUACAUAUAUUCACAUACAUUAUAUAUGCUCUCUAGCAGUCUGCUGGGAUGCAAAAGUUGUUAUUUAUAUAUCUAUAUAUCUAUCUUUUCGUUUUAUUGUCAUUUUUGAUUGAUUGAUUGGUAAUGGCGAAAACACUUUUAACAAUGGAUCUCUUGGCUCUUGCAUCGAUGAAGAACGCAGUCAAGUGCGAAAAGUAGUGCGAAAUGCAUGCUCUGCGAGUCAUCUAGUCUUUGAACGCAAAUGGCACUGCCAUGCCAAGUGGCAGUAUGCCCGUUUGAGAACCACAUGGACAAUCGCCUCUGGUUGGGGGCGGAGCUGCUGGUGUCCUUUUCCUGUCUGUCUGUCUGUCUGUCCAUCAUCAUCCGUGUCCAUGUCUGUCCAUGCCUGCCAAUUCGUUGGUGGUGGUGGUGGUGGUGGUGGAGAUGAUGGUGGUGGUGGAGAUGGAGAUUGUGGUGGUGGGGAGGACUCGAGCCAAGUAAAUGUGCCUGGUGUGCAAGAGUGUGUGCUGCAAUGGGUGAUGGUGCGGGAUGGUGUAGUGUCGUUGUCGUUGGUAUGCUAUUAUCUGUCUAUCAUUGGUGAUGGCAUGCAUGCAUUGUUUCGUGGUUCGUUGCGGCGACUGUUGCCGAGGGUGAAUAAAUGAAAUGAUUCGAUUGAUGAUUCGAUUGAUGAUAUUGGAAAUGGUCUCAAAUUGGGCAGGAUUACCCGCUGGACUUAAGCAUAUCAGUAAGCGGAGGAAGAGAAACUAACAAGGAUUCCUGCAGUAACGGCGAGUGAAGUGGGAGGAGCUCAAAUUUGGAAUCUGGCCGCCACGUGGACGGUCCGAAUUGUAGUCUAGAGGGGUGCGGGAGCGGACCUGGCCGUGCAAAAGUGUUCUGGAAUGGACCACCGGAGAGGGUGAGAGUCCCGUGUGGGCACGGCGGGGCGAGCGGGAAGCGGCACGCCCAAAGAGUCGGGUUGUUUGGGAAUGCAGCCCAAAGGGGUGGUAAACUCCAUCCAAGGCUAAAUAUUGGCAAGAGACCGAUAGCGAACAAGUACCGUGAGGGAAAGAUGAAAAGCACCUUGAAAAGGGGGUGAAAUAGUGCGUGAAAUUGUUAAAAGGGAAACGAUUGGUGCCGGGUUGGGUGCUGGAGCAGCAGCACCAGCAGCACCAGCAGCAGCAGGACAGUGGCAGUGUGGCCUGGGUGCAGAGCGCAAGCCUGUACGUGGCGAUGCUGGCUGGGUGGCUGGCUGGAUGGCUGGUGGUGCAAGCAAAGGCAUGCGAGUCAGGCUGCCGCGGCGUGUCCGACAAGACCCGGGGAGGGCGGGUGUGUGUUUCUGUAGUGGGAGCAUGUGCGUGUGCCCUGGGGGAUGGGAUGGGCUGUGGGUGGUGAGCAGGAGUAGUGGCAGACGGGGGCGCUGGGAUGUGAGGGCCGUGUGUCUGGACUGCAAGCAGACUGGGGACGGGGCGGCACAUGUGCGGCGGCUUGCGGGGCCACGAGCUGACGGGGACGGCACCAAACGACCCGUCUUGAAACACGGACCAAGGAGUCCAGCAUGUGUGCGAGUGUUUGGGUGGCAAGCCCGGAUGCGCAACAAAAGUGGACAGUGGGAACACGCGCAAGUGGGCACCAUGGACCGGCCAGCUGUUGGGCGGGUCGUGUCGGAGCACAAAUGCUGGGACCCGAAAGAUGGUGAACUAUGCCUGGAUAGGAUGAAGCCAGAGGAAACUCUGGUGGAGGUCCGCCGCCGUUCUGACGUGCAAAUCGAUGGUCGAAUCUGGGCAUGGGGGCGAAAGACUAAUCGAACCAUCUGGUAGCUGGUUCCCUC